rnacentral:ncRNA from 1 species
UCAGCCCUCUUUUUAAACACGGGAUAUUCCCGGCCUGUUCACUGUAAGGAGCCCAUCAUGGCACUUAGCGUUGAAGAAAAAGCCCAGAUCGUUAACGAGUACAAGCAAGCUGAA